UGGUGGAUUUCUAAACAAGGUGGGACAUUUAAUUCCCAGGGACUUUUUUCUUAUCCAGAUUGCAGCCCUGCCCCCACAAGCCCACAAGACUCAGUUUUACAUUUGCCAAAUGGGUAGAAGACUGGCAAAGAGCUAGAAAUGGAUGGCAAAACUUCAGGGUCACACAGUGGGGGACUUUGGAAUAUAGCCCUGUGUGGGCCUGGGCCCUGGAUGCACAAUCUUUUUCUUCCCUUCCCCCACCCAGCCCAGCCCAGCCGGGUGGACAUUCCAGGCCUCACGUGAUAAAGAGGAGGCCACUGGCCCUCGGGUAAGUCAACAGCCUCUGUCGCGGGAGAGAUAGGAGGCCCAGGCCAGGGUCACCUGCUGAGCCGGGAAAACAGCCCGAUCCAAACACACACAUAAAUAAGGUACCAGCGACAGCCAGCCAGCCAAGGGUCUGUCUUCUGCACAACAACCUCUGCCCUCACCUUAGAAAAGGGGGUGGCAGGCCAGAGGGAGACGCAAGGCUGUCUAGGGGCUUCCCUGGGAGAGUCCCAGCUCUUGCCAGGACGGAUGGGAGAGGAUCUACCAAGUCCCAGGGCUGACUGAGAACUCCGAGGCCAAUCUCUCUCAGCUGUUCCCACUCCUUCCCAGGGCAAAAAUCAAACUGUCACCCCCUCUCUCUUCUCUCCAAGGAGAAAGGACAAUUUCCGUUCGGGGGGGGGGGUGACAGCUGCAGAGCGGGCCGCCAACCCCCCCCCCCCAAGCUCCAGCCUCUCAUCUAGGGAAACUGCUAAAUCAACACCACGCAGUUGCAGGGAGGAAGAGCUGGCCGCAGUCUCCCAGCAUGGCUUUCAAAAAAGCAUUGGAGGGGGCUCAGGUCCCAAUUCUUAUGUUCCAGGGUCAGUUGGAACCCAGGGUAUAGAAGUCUUCUAAAAGGGGAUCAGGUCAAGCUUAGGCCAAAUGUUCCCAACUGCAGGGACCGACACCCCCCACUCCACCCCACCCCCGCGAGCCGGGGCAGCUGAGGUGGCGCCGGGCGUUCAAAUCGCGCUCCAAACAAGUCCGCAGCGACCGCGCUCGCAGCCCCCGCCAGGCGGCCCCAGCGGAAAACUUGAAAGGGACUCUGUUUGCCGGCGGCCCCGGGGCGGCUCCGGCGGGGGCGAGGGCCGAGCGAUCACACACGCCCCCCUUCUCAGCGCUUCCUGAGUGAACGCGGGGGGUGGGAGGCUGGGCCCACUACAAACCCAGGGCUCCGAACGGUGCCCGCGGCGCUAGCGAAGGCGGGGAUCGAGGGGCUGACCGCCCCCUCCCCGCCUCGCCCAGCACCCCCAACCCGAAGACGCGAAUCAGACCACCCAGGGUUCAAGGGGUAAAGGAGGGCGCGGCUGCCAAGCCUUCAGACCCCGUUGCAAGAGGCUCCAGGGAGCAGGUCUUUCCGGAUGAGUCACUACAGAACCCCCCAAAUCUACCGACGCCUCUCAGUGCAGCCCAAGGCACCAGCCCAACUUCGUGCACCCCUUCCGAUUGCCGGGGGUGGGGGGAAAGAAAGGGGGUUGUUCUCUUAUUGGGCGCUUCACCUCUGACAGGCGCCGGAAUGGGCCCCCUCACGUGAAAACUGGUGUCACUCACUUUGUCCAUCCUAGAAAUAAACAAAGCCAGGCGCACCCCGCGCGCCCCGCCGGAAAGCAGCCCAUUCUGGGCAGGGACAACUUCCCCUAGUCAGAAAAUUAACACAUUCCUCUCGCGGCAGCUCAGCCCCUCGCCCCAGGGAAGCAAGGGGAGGGGGGCUCGGGCCGAACUUUAAGGUAAAUUUGGGACCCAAGCAGCAAAGCAGGCGCCUGGGACACCCGCUCCCACCCCAGCUACGCAGCUCGGGGAACACCCCCAUACUCCCUCCCUCGUUUUGCACACCGCUUAGCCCACGAGGGGCUCGGGAGGCAGUCCGAAAGACUCCCCUAGGCUGGGGAGGUAAGGGAGUAAGAGGCCGCGAGGCGCGGUGGAGGUGGGGGAAGAUACUCGGACGGAAAGAAAAAAAAAGGUCAAACUUGAUCAGCCCGCCAGGCACCCCACGGGCAGCGGGGGCGAGGAGCCGGAGGGGAAAUGCAGAAGUGGCCGCCGCCUCUCCCUAGUGGAGGAGGAGGUUUGGCCACGCAUGGACGAGGACGCUCGGAGCAGCUGUUGUCGCCCCCAAACACAGGGCAGUGAGUGAGGUCUGAUGCGGGGAGCACGCACCAGCGAUCUCCAAGCAGCCGCCCCCGCGGCCGGACGCCCGCAGACACCGAGAUGAGGAAACUGAGAUGAUUCCAGCCCAAUCUCUGGGUCGACUACAUUAUGGUACCCCAGGACAGUGGCCUACAAACAUGAAGUCUGGAACACAGCAUCACUGAAGAGGGAGGAAUUGCAUGUGGUUCCGUGUCUUUUUAUCUGUGCUAAGAAUCAAAGAGGGCCUCAGCAUAUUAGAUCCGAGCAAUCUCAGGCACUAAAGGAUCAUCUGGAUUGGGAUCACACAACAGAGAACAGAUGGACAAGAGUACUAGGAUAAAAAAAUGUGUAAGUUAGUAAAGGAUAAAAAACGAAAGUUGACAGAAAUAUGCAAUGGCAACACAUGAGAAAAUUCUAAGAACCUACUGAGAGCUGGGGUAUAGCACUUGCCUAGCCAGCACGAUAACCUGGACUGAUCCUAGUGUGGGGGAAAGAGUUUAUUUAUACAGUAGUGCCUAGUAAUAGUAAUCACUAGAGAUUUGGAGGCGCUCAAACAAGCUGGACCUGUAAUACCAGUAUUAGGAAGGCUGAAAAGCAAGAGAACUGCUGUUGAGUUCGAAGCCAGCCUGGACUACCUACCCACUGGAAAACUGUCUCAAAAAACAAAACAAAACAAAACAAAACCCUCAAACAGAUUUCAUAUUUAGCCAAUAAAAAAUUAAAAUGAAAACAAAUAGCAGAAAGUUAAUGCUGAAAGUCAUUUUAGUUUCCAAGAUAAGAAUCCAUCUCUUUGCGCAAAGUUUCACAAAUUAUGCUAUGUGUACCACUGGCUCUCUAUGCCUGAACUCCUAAAGAACUUAGCCCAGAGAAGUUAACUGAUUUGUUCACUCGGCCUGGAACAGGAAUUAGAAAACAGAAUAAAAUUUUAAAACCCUCAUCUUGUACUGGAGGUACAGGUCAGUGGUAGAGUGCUUGCCUAGGAUACACAAAGCCCUAGGUUCAAUCCCCCCACACCACAAAAAAACAAAACAAAACAAAACAAACAACCCCCCCCCCAACCCACUAGACUUCCAAGUCUUAGACCAAGAAUACUCUCCCGGUAGGUUUAGGAAGGGAUUUUUUUUUUUUUUUUUAAAUCGGUACCAGGGAUCAAACUCAUGACUGCCUGCUUGCAAGGCAGGUGCUUAUGCUGCUGAGCUAAAUCCCCAGCCCCUAAGACCAAGAAUACUAAUCAGAGUCUGUAAAACUCAAUUGUUAGAAGCCCAAAUUGAGGGGAAAAUGCUUUUCAAAAUUCCACACACAACCAUCACUAAUGACUACUUAGCUGGGGCAAACGACAAUCUUGAGACCUAAUGAACACCGUUUUCUCUGGGGCAGGUAGCAGUGUUUCAAGAUACAAUGGAUGUGAUUCAUUUUUGGGUUAAAAGAAUCCAAAUCAAGAGUAUAAAGGCCAAUGCUUGCCUCUGUAGGGCAAUGGCCAGAGACUCAGUAAUAGCAUGCAACACACUACUACCAAGUUCUCAAAGUCUUUUCAGGGCUGGGGAUGUUGUAGCUCAGGUGCACAGUGCCUGCCUGUUAUCAAAACACAGUCUUUUCAGUGAUGAUUUAGAUCUCACUUCCUCAAUGAUAACCUGAUACGUAGCAGAGAAAUCUCAACAGUAUAAUUUCCUCUGUUCAAAUCUGUCAUUAAUAUUCUUCACUGAACUUAAAAGUGGCGAUUGAGGUCACUAUAUUAAGUUCAAGAGACUCUGACGUAAUGAAAUAAACUGAAAACUUUUUAUUGUGAUGCUAACAGAACUCAGCUCAUGUAUGUUCUGAACCAAGAGGUAAAGACUUUUGAGUUCUCUAUCCUACGAAACCAUCAAAUUCAAGAGGAAAAGAUUUACUUAUUUUCCUAUCAAAUCUAUUCUACAAAGACCAAGGACUUGGGGGCUAGAGAUUUAGCUCAGCGGCAUAAGUGCCUGCCUUGCAAGCAGGCAGUCGUGAGUUCAAUCCCCGGUACUGAUAAAAAGGAAAGACAAAAAAGAAAAAAAAAAAAGACCAAGGACUUCUGAGAGAUGAAUAAAAAGCUGACAUGUCCUAUUAUCACUCAAGUUUGACAACCAAAUAAGCUAUUUUCUUGCCUUCUAAGUAUACAGGGAGGCGGAAGGGGAAUGCAACAAUAAAGAUGUUCUCUGACUCUUCCUUUCAAUUUUUUUUAUCGGUACCAGGGAUUGAACUCAUGACUGCCUGCUUGCAAGGCAGGUGCUUACACCGCUGAGCUAAAUCCCAGCCCCUCUUCCUUCAUUCUUAUUGCCCACAGUUCUGGCAGAUGACAUUCCCAAACAUCUUUUCUUCCUAUUGUCAGGUGUCACCACCUGAUGUCCUCUUCAAUAUCAGAAGAACAUUGUAACAGUAAUAAGAAAAGAUCUCUUAUUUCUUGGAAAUGGUAACAAAGAGUAACAGAUUUCUGAAUGCCCAUGAAAUGCUGACUGUAGAAAGAAGAAACCCUGACCCUAUGAAUCUGACAAUACAAGUCAUCUGAAAUUAGAAAUACUGCCACAAUUGUAUCACAAAUUCCCUUUACUUAUUUUUAUAAUAAAGCAGCUUUAGUCAGGUGUGGUGGUACAUGCCUAUAAUCCCAAUAGUUAGGAGGCAAGGGAAGGAGCAUUGUUUCAAAUUCAAGACAGAUUGGACUACACGAUUAGAGUUCAAGAACAGCCAGAAUAGUGAGGCCUUGUCUCAAAAAUUAAAACAAACGAACAAACAAACAAACAACAAGAAAAAAGAAAACCAAACAAUACCCCAUAAAAUUAAAAGCAUAAAUUUAUCUAAGGGUGGUGUGGUGGUGCACAUCUGAGGCAAAAGGUGCUCAAGCCAAUCAAGCCCAGGCCAGACAACUUGGUAAGACCCUGUUUCAAUAUAAAAGUGCUCUACUACAAAGCUACAUCCCAGUUCAAAGUUAAAUUUUAAAGAAACAGCUUUUCUAGGAAAGGAAAGUGGGCUAGUGAUUUUUUUUAGAUUUGGCGAAAGGAUUCUUUGAAUUUCCCAACUCAAGGUGUUGGCUUAUUAUGCAUUAUACAUUCUGUCUCUGUAAAUGGAAUUAAGUUUUAUUUCUACAACCUGAAUAGACUCUGCACUUGAAUAGUUUUACCCAUAUACAUUCCCCAUCAGUUUAUAUUUAUUUUCUUUCUUGUUUUUCUUGGGUAUUAGGAAUCAGACUCAGGACCUUACACUUGCUAGUAUUUUUUUUUUUUUUGUCUUUUUCAUUUUUAUCAGUACCGGGGAUCGAACUCACGACCGCCUGCUUGCAAGACAGGUGCUUAUGCCGCCGAGCUAAAUCCCCAGCCCCUGCAAGUAUAUUCUUUUUUUUUUUUUGCUUUGCUUUUUAUCGGUACCAGGGAUGGAACUCAUGACUGCCUGCUUGUAAAGCAGGCGCUUAUGCCACUGAGCUAAAUCCCCAGCCCCUUGCAAGUAUAUUCUUUAAAAAAAAAAAAAAAAAAAAAAAAAAAAGUAUUUAUUUUCUUUAAUAUCGUAACUGAUAAGCCUCUUUCUUUCUUUCUUUUUUUAGUACCAGGAAUUGAACUUAGGACCUUGCACUUGCAGGGCAGGCACUGUGCCAUUGAGCUGUAUCCCAGCCCCAUCACUUUCAAUUUUAAAAAUACAUAGUUGAGUGUUUUUAUAGUACAAUUAUUUGCUUUAAGUUUUCUAAAGGUCCCUAAACACAUACCUUCAAUGUAGGUGGAAUUCAGUGGUAGAGCACAUGCUUAGGAUGCACAAUGCCCUGGGUUCAAUCCAUAUCGUCAAAAAGGAGGAAAGAAAAGAUGAAGCCAGGCACAGAGGACUUCAAGUUGGAGAACAGCCUAAGUAACCUAGCAAGACCCCUUCUCAAGGGGGUCUGGGAUAUAUCUCAGUAGCACAGCACUUGUCUAGUCUGUGGGAAUCUCAGGGUUCAAUUAAUGAGGAAGGGGGGAUUUAGACAAAAAUUACUGCCCUUGAAAACAGACUGUAUGUGGAAGGAUAAUUAACAUUACACAGAGAAAUAAGGCAACUCUAGGCAUGAGAAAAGGUAAGAAAAUGAGAUGGCAACAGCUUCAGCUGUCUAGUACACCCCCGUAGACAAUUACAUAAUUUUAGCUCUACUGGUCCCAUCAGAUUUACAUCUCUAUUGACACUUGGGGAAUGAAGAGAAACCAACACACCCCGCCACUAGACCAGGUGAUAAAAUGACCAGGUUAUGUACACUUUCUUAAACAGUGUCUGAAAAGGGGCCCUCUAAAAGAAAAAGGGUCACUUCUUUGGAAAAACUAUUUUUGUUCACAACUUUGUAAAAUAUGUUCCUUGACUAGGAGUGGAGAUGUGUAUGUGUGUAAUUCCAGCACUCAGGAAAGUCAAGACAGGAAAAUGAAUCAGAUUUCAAGGCCAGCUUGGAUGAGAGAGAAGAACAUGCCUCAAUAAACAAAAACAAACCAAAAUUACACAAAAAAAGUUCUCGGGUUUUUUGUUAUUUUUGACUAACAGUUCAGAAUUUUUAUUUUUCGAGACAGGGUCUUGUUAUAUAGUUCACACUGGCUCUGACCUCAUGACAAUCCUCCUGUGUUAUUGCUGAGAUUACAAGUGUGGGCUACCACAUUGGGCCAGAAAUUUUAACUUAAUGCUGUGUAGCUGUUUGUUUUUCUGAGAUGGAGUCUUGCUAUGUAGUUUUGUAGUUCAGGGUGGCCUCAAACUUGGGGCAAUCCUCCUGCCUCAGCCUCAUGAGUGCUGGGAUCACAGGCAUGUGCCACCACAACAGUGUGGUAGGAUACACCUAUAAUUCCAGCACUAAAAGGCUGAGGUAGGAGGACUGCCCUGUGAGUUUGAGACCACCCUACAUAGUGAGUUCAAGGCCAGCCUAGACUAUAUAGUGAAACUGUCUCAAAGAAAAACAAAAAUCAAACAACAAACAAAAUGAAUCUUAGGGCCAGGGAUUUAACUCAGCAGGCACAAGUACAUGUCUGGCAGACAUGAAGUUGAGUUCGACACCCCCACCCAUUCAACAGUAUACAAGUCUUCUCAUUUAACUUACAAGACAACAACUGUCCAACACUUUUGACAACUGUACCUUUAUCUGAUUUAUUAAAAUACUUAUAAGGAGCCCAUUAACUGAACUUUUGUUUCUUUUAUCUUCAGAGUAACAAUAUUUAUUAUCAUCCCUAUUUUUUUUUUUUUUUUUGGUCUUUUUCUUUUUUAUCGGUACCGAGGAUCGAACUCAUGACCACACACUUGCUAUCAUCCCUAUUCUACAGGAAAAAACCUAAAGAAUUCAGAAGCUGGGGCUGGGGAUUUAGCUCAGCAGUAUAAGCACCUGCCUUGCAAGCAGGCGGUCGUGAGUUUGAUCCCUGGUACCGGUAAAAACGAAAAAGACCAAAAAAAAAAAAAAAAAAAAAAAAAAAAGAAU